GACAGAGGGGGCAAGCGUUGCUCGGAAUUACUGGGCGUAAAGGGCGCGUAGGCGGGAUGGCAAGUCGGGCGUGAAAUCCCUCGGCUCAACUGAGGAUCGUCGAUCGAUACUGCCGUUCUUGAGGAUUGCAGAGGAGACUGGAAUUCCCGGUGUAGCGGUGAAAUGUGUAGAUAUCGAGAGGAACACCUGCGGCGAAGGCGGGUUGCUGGGCUGACACUGACGCUGAUGCGCGAAAGCUAGGGGAGCGAACGGG
rnacentral:rRNA from 1 species